UGAAUGUUCUGAGGUUUCUCAUCUCAUCACCAACCCAAGUUGCACCAUUAGCUCCUCUAAACUAUAGAAAAUAAGGUCUCAUUACUUCCAAAAGAAAAAAUGUGUUUCAGAAAAACAUAAACAAUGGCAAUAUGAUUAUCUUCCCCCAUCAUGGAGCCAUGAAAUGAAGAAUCAUGGAAGUUCAUGAGGAAGAAAGAGCCCAAGAAGGUGGCUGCCAAGCCAAUGUUAGGCCAUGUUUGGUUAGGAAGUUGCUGCUGUAGCUCCCCCCACCCACCUACCUACCUUCCCAUUGGUGGAGAAAAGAAGAAGAAAAUCAACUGAGGAAUUUCUGCUCUCCAUUUCGGAGAAAGAAGAAAAUGGUUUCAGUGCAUGAUUAGCAGGAGAAGUGAUUGCAGGCACUUUAGUUGUCCAUCCGAGAAUAUCCUGACCGACAAGAACGUUGUCAACUGGACAGAAACAACAUGGCCCUUCAACGAACAGAACCAGGAAGGUUAAGGGAAACAUGGGAAACGGAAAAACCAAACAUGGAAAAACAGAGUGAAGAGCUUAUCAGGAUCAGGUUGAAAGAUGAAGGUGAUAUUCAGCAAAUAAAGGACCAGUAAUUAGAGCACACGUACCAUGAUCUGCAAACACAAUUGUAUCGAGCCAGACACUUGACUGGUUACUGUGAGAGUAUUAUGUCUCCAAGAAUUUCUUCAGGAAGCGAGAAUCAUGGUUUUCUUUUUUCUGCUCUCUUUUGAGUGCUUCUGCUCGUCGCCAUUAGCUCUAUACGUACCUUUAAAAUAUAGACUACGCUGCUGCAAUUUUUGAUAAGAUGUUAACAUUUGAGGCUAGCUACAUAAUCCAAGGCAUCUUUCUUUCUCUGUUUUCUUUUUCAG